rnacentral:misc_RNA from 1 species
GAUGAAGAACGUAGCGAAAUGCGAUAAGUAAUGUGAAUUGCAGAAUUCAGUGAAACAUCGAAUCUUUGAACGCACAUUGCGCCCCCUGGUAUUCCGGGGGGCAUGCCUGUUCGAGCGUCAUUUCACCACUCAAGCCUCGCUUGGUAUUGGGCAACGCGGUCCGCCGCGUGCCUCAAAUCGACCGGCUGGGUCUUCUGUCCCCUAAGCGUUGUGGAAACUAUUCGCUAAAGGGUGUUCGGGAGGCUACGCCGUAAAACAACCCCAUUUCUAAGGUUGACCUCGGAUCAGGUAGGGAUACCCGCUGAACUUAAGCAUAUCAAUAAGCGGAGGA